CCUACGGGAGGCAGCAGUAGGGAAUAUUGCUCAAUGGGGGAAACCCUGAAGCAGCAACGCCGCGUGGGGGAUGAAGUUUUUCGGAUUGUAAACCCCUUUUGUUAGAGAAGAUAAUGACGGUAUCUAACGAAUAAGCACCGGCUAACUCCGUGCCAGCAGCCGCGGUAAUACGGAGGGUGCAAGCGUUACGCGGAAUCACUGGGCGUAAAGAGCGCGUAGGCGGGAUAGCAAGUCAGAUGUGAAAUCCUAAGGCUUAACCAUUGAACUGCAUUUGAAACUGUUAGGCUGGAGUAAAGGAGAGGUAAGUGGAAUUCCUGGUGUAGGGGUGAAAUGCGU
rnacentral:rRNA from 1 species